rnacentral:lncRNA from 1 species
GAGGCCUGGGCUACGGCUAUGGUGGCUUUGGAGGCCUGGGCUGUGGAUGUAACAGCAUCCGCAGACUGGGCUGUGGCUGUGGCUCUGGAAGCUAUGGAUAUGGCUCUGGCUUCGGAGGCUUUGGAUAUGGCUCUGGCUUUGGAGGCUACGGAUACGGCUCUGGCUACGGAGGCUAUGGAUAUGGCUGUGGCCGCCCUUCAUGCUGUGGAGGAUAUGGGUUCUCCAGCUUCUACUGA